UACGGAGGAUGCAAGCGUUAUCCGGAUUUAUUGGGUUUAAAGGGAGCGCAGACGGGAAACUAAGCGGAUCUUAAAAGCCCGGGGCUCAACCCCGGUACUGCAUUGGAAACUGUCGUACUAGAGUGUCGGAGGGGUAAGCGGAAUUCCUAGUGUAGCGGUGAAAUGCUUAGAUAUCACGAAGAACUCCGAUUGCGAAGGCAGCACACUAAUCCGUAACUGACGUUCAUGCUCGAAAGUGUGGGUAUCAAACAGG
rnacentral:rRNA from 1 species